CUUCCGGUCGACAAGGUACAUGUACCUUGUCGGCUGGAAGGAAACCCUUCCGGUCGACAAGGUACAUUUACCUUGUCGGCUGGAAG
rnacentral:miRNA from 1 species